GACGAACGCUGGCGGCGUGCUUAACACAUGCAAGUCGAACGGAAAGGCCCUGCUUGUGUGGGGUGCUCGAGUGGCGAACGGGUGAGUAACACGUGAGUAACCUGCCCUUGACUUUGGGAUAACUUCAGGAAACGGGGGCUAAUACCGGAUAGGAGCUCCUGCUGCAGGGUGGGGGUUGGAAAGUUUCGGCGGGUGGGGAUGGACGCGCGGCUUAUCAGCUUGUUGGUGGGGGAGGGGCUGACCAAGGCUUUGACGGGUAGCCGGCCUGAGAGGGUGACCGGCCACCUUGGUCCUGCGAUACGGCGCAGUCUCCUACGUUGGACAGUAGUCGCGAGUCUUGCACAAUCGGCCCACGCCUGAUACGGCAGCCCCGCGUGCGUAAUGCCCUCCUUUUGGUUGUGAACCGCUUUCGCCUAUGACGCCGCGUGACUGACGGUACUGGGUGAAUAAGCACCGGCUAACUUCGUG
rnacentral:rRNA from 1 species